rnacentral:lncRNA from 1 species
GCUCUGGAUAUCAUAUCAAACAUACAGAAGGUGAAGUGGGACCAUAACAUAAUAUGGUACAUCCAUUUCUGAAUGACCACCAAACAUAAGUCUCCCACGUCUGGGAGCUCCAUCCACCCACGCCUGAGUGAAGUCAUAAGGGCCGGCAGAGCAUCUCAGGCUCUAUGCAUAACUCCCUUCACCAUUUCCGGCAAAGGUUCACAAUAUCCCACAAACACCAGAGUACAAAAGGAUAGUAUGAACA